rnacentral:lncRNA from 1 species
CAAGCUUUACAGCAGUGUUAUAAUAUGACAUCCGCAGCAUGUAAUCCACUAGUAUCCGGUUCAAACGGGUGUUAUGCCAGCCUGAUAAAUUUUCUGGAUCAGCAGAUUCUAGAUGAUCUAGCCGUGCUCUGCAUCUUUGCGCUUGCAGGUUCUCUGUUUGACUCCCCUCUUCCGACUAAUUGUUCUCACAAUACAAAACCAUAUGAGACAUCAUUUUUAACUGAUUAAAAGGAUUACUGAAGCUUCCAAAAAGCUUCGUGUUGGGCUGUUUUAGCUUUUCAAACAUAUUAGUCACUAACCAACUAACUAAAUGAGUAAAUGGGAUACAUUUUAGGAUCCAACAUUCAACAAAAAACAGAGAAAUCAAACACACAUACACACCAAUAGAAGUUUCGUUUACUUUAUCCAAUCUUAUACAGUAAAUGAUUCUUCCCACAAUAUAAAACCACCUUUACCUAAUUUGAACUGGUCAAAAAUCAAUCUGAAGAAUUUCAAAGGUACCUGUUGGAAUGUAAUCAACUUUACAACAGACUAAUCACUUCAUCCUCUCUCUCUCUCUCUGACACACACACAAAAUAUAGAGAGAGAAGUUUUGAUUUUGUCAUCCAAUAUCCAAUCUUAUACAGUCAAAGUAUGAUACACAGUUACAGACACACGUGUUUGGGUAGAAGUUUGCUUCCUUCAUCCAAUCCUAUGCUCCAAUCAAAUCUGAUGCAUACACAACAAAUAGGGGAAAUUUCGCUACCCUUAACAAAACUUACAUAGUAAUCGAACAGAAUAACAUACCUAAUUAUAGAAGUCUAGCUUCCAUUAAUCAAAACUUAUACAGUAAACAAACAGAAUAGUGUAAUUGAGCUACUCUAAGUACCUUCCUUUUGAGGCCCUGCAAUCUGGAUACAAGUGAAUUAAGGUGAUGUACAGCAUCAUCACGGGACAUGUCAGAUUCAGCAGCAUCUGAAACUCCAUUAAUAACAGCGGAGAGUUCCUUCUCAACAAUACGAUGAUUAGCGCGGAUCGCUUUCUUGAAAUGCUCGAAGGGAACACGAAGGAACUGGUGCUCCAAUUUGAGCGAUUCGGACAGCUGGUUCAGUUUUGACGAAGGUGCGUUAGGUGAGAUGGCAGCCGCCACCGCNNNNNNNNNNNNNNNNNNNNNNNNNNNNNNNNNNNNNNNNNNNNNNNNNNNNNNNNNNNNNNNNNNNNNNNNNNNNNNNNNNNNNNNNNNNNNNNNNNNNNNNNNNNNNNNNNNNNNNNNNNNNNNNNNNNNNNNNNNNNNNNNNNNNNNNNNNNNNNNNNNNNNNNNNNNNNNNNNNNNNNNNNNNNNNNNNNNNNNNNNNNNNNNNNNNNNNNNNNNNNNNNNNNNNNNNNNNNNNNNNNNNNNNNNNNNNNNNNNNNNNNNNNNNNUGGUGGUGGUGGAUGACGGCGAACUGCCGUUGGGAACCGUUUCCAUCUCCAUUAAUGGAAGAAAUCAAGCUAGAUCGAAGACGCUAGAAGGAGAAAGAUUAUGGAAGAAGGAAAAUUUUGCUUCGUUUCCAAAUAGAUAGAACAUCGAAAGGGUACAGCACUACGGCGUCGUUUUGUUUAGGUAAAUUAUUUUAUUUUUUUCUUUUAGAGUAGGUGGGAAAUUAGGAGUGUGCAAAAAUCGAAUCGAUUGAUAAAUCGAACCGAAAAGAGUGUUAUUGGUUUAUUGUUAUUGGGUUUUGGGUUAACGGUUAUUUAAUGGUUUUAUAAAAAAAAUUAUUGGGUUAUCUGUUCGAUAUUGAUUUUUAAUAUUGGGUUAUUGGGUUAACCGAUAACCCAUUAAGAAUAUAAUAAUUUACUAUUUUAAUUUUUAGUCAUACAUAAAUAUCAAACAAAAAAUAUUAAUAUAAUCAUUAUAUUAGACUUUACUAUAAGAACCCUACACAAUUAACAUUACUUAAUUAACUCUGCUUUCUGCAUUUAUCUUUUAGGUUUUAAUAUUACUUUAGUCUUUUAGGCAAUGACUAGGGUUGUGAAUUAUGAGUAUUUGCUAUACUUUUACUACAUUAAGCAAAAUUUUUGCACUCAAUGAGUAAUUAUAUUUCUCUCUUUUUUAUUUCACGUUAAAUUAUUAGACAAGUCAUAUAUUUGUUUUGAGAUCAUUUUCUUAUUGGUUAAACCGAAAACCGAAUCGUUAAAGACCAAAACCGAUAACAAAUAUCUUAUUUGUUUGGUUAUCGGCUUAGCAUAUUUAUAAACCUAAAACCGAUAAACCGAAUCGAUAAUACUUAAAACCGAACCGAACCGAUCGAUACACACGCCUAUGGGAAAUAGCAUAUCGAUACCUCUUAAAUUUGUUGAUGUAUUUCAUUCUGAUACUUGAAUUAUUACAUAUUUUAAUCGAGCAUCUGAAAGCAUGAUAAUGUGAUACAAUAAUCUUAUUCGUUAGACAUUUUCAGCUCAAUUUUAUAUAAAAGAAACUUUUGUUUGUAUUUUUAAACAAAUAAAUUAAGGAAAACAACAUGUUUAUUCCUUGAGUUAUUGUUAUAUUCCUAGUUUAAUACUUUUGAUCAUGUGACUUUUCAUCUUUAAUUGAAAAGAGAUUUAAAUCUCAUAUCUAAAAGGUAUAUGUAGAAUGAGUUGCAUGGGCUUCUAAUUGAAAGCAUACUUUAAGAUUACAAUUUACAGGGGUAUAAUACAUAAACAUGACCCUUAACUUGGCUUCAAUAGACAACUAUGCCCUCCAUCUUUGAGUAUGCACAAGUAGACACUUAAACUUAUAUAAAAUUGAACAAGUAGACACACGUAUCCUACAUGGCAUAAUACAUGUAGGACGCCACAUAGGACACAAAAUUUCAUGUAAGGUGUCAUGUAGGACGAAUGUGUCUAUUUGUUCAAUUUUAUACAAGUUUAAGUGCCUACUUGUGCACACCCAAAGUUAAAAGUCAUAGUUGUCAGCUGGUGCCAAGUUAAGAAUCAUGUUUAUGUAUUAUGCCAUUUACAAGUAUGCUUCUUAACUGUCAACUUUCAUGUAUGCAACUGAUAUGCUGUACAAAUCAAAAACUCCUUCCAAAGUUCACAUCAUUAUGAAUUUUCUGCUUGCAAACUUGGUGGUUCCCAUAUAUACAAUUGUCCCCUAAACAUGAAGUCAUGGGCACUGAGAAGCUCCCAGAGCAAGUUUCUUGCUUGGGAGUUGAUCACUGCCCACGAUCUACGGUGAUGGACAGUCCGAUGAAAACAGAUACUCAUGAAAUGUAUGCCUUAAUCAGCUCGGUGUAGUUGCAGGUGAGGCCUGUACUAGGACAUGUAAUUCUGCCAUCAUUCUUCACCAUUUCUUCGAGUGCCUGAUGUCACAUAGAUAUAAGUCAGAUUAUCGCUGAAGGAAGCACAAACGUGGAAGCAAAUAAAGGCAUACAUUGGUGCUAUAGACAUAGCCAUUAGGCAAUACAAGGGGUGGAUUUUCAGUAUCCAUCAGUUCUUGAGUAAAAAGUUCAGAAAUAGUGGCACCACAAACAGAUUAUGCAAGUGCUGUGAACCAUUUGCAAAAAGGUGUUGGCACCAUUGCAAUUUAACCAACUUGCUACAUGGUAACUUCUAUAGGCAGAAGGACCAGAAAGCAAAACCACUUAACUAGUACCCUAUCGCUGAAUUCCUUCUUAGCUCCCUGGUUUGGACCUUUCCCCGAUGGAUGAGAUGUCCCCAGAUCACCAUUGUCUUCUCGCGACUUGCAAAAAGCAUAUUCCAGCUGGCCGUCCCAAUUUCACUACAGGUUUCGAUCUUGGCAAGGAAGCCUCAUUAAUUUCCCAAAAAUAGAUCUAAUUAGAUUUACAUAUCUAUUACUUCCUUCUAAUUGCACCAAACGUUCAAAAGUAAAUUAUUAAGUAUAACUUACCUAAAUCCCAUAGUGUUAAGACCUAAAUUACAUUGUAUCCCUAUUCUUUUUCAAUUUACAAAAAUCCCUCAAAAUCAGUGUUAUCCGGAUACAUAGCAAACAAGUCGGAUACAUUAAUUCCAAUACAUUAAAAUAAAUUCAGUUACACUUUUAAAAGGAAAGGUAAUCAAUUUUGAAUGUGAGUUUCCCAAAUCACGCUAAUCAAUUUGUUGUCAAUCUUUCUCAAAUGGUAACUGCUUCAAUUAUUUCAAAUUUCAAAUUUUCUUCUCUCAAUUCUCUUCCAAAUCCUCCUAGCUUCAAACAAUUCAAUCAGAAGCAAAUCCUUCCAGAAUCAACAAAUUCAAAAUUCAUUUUUUUCUCUCUAUUCAUCGUCUCAUGUUCAUCGAAUAAUCAUUCAAAUCAGAUUCAAAUUUACCAAAAAUUUGAUAAGAUACAUAAUGAAUAAUUAUUGGGCAAAUAAUUUCUUUUAUGAAUCUCAAAUCCACCAUUGCAGUAGAUCGAUGAGAUGAGGAAAACUUGAAAAUCCGAUAUAUAGUAGAAGGAAAUCCUUCCGGAAUCUAAGAAAGUGGGGAUUUCCUUCCGAAAUCUGAAGCAAAUCCUUUCAGAAUCUGAGAAAGUGAGAUGAGGUAUGAAUGAUACAAAAAUGAUGAAAUGGUUGUUGGUCAAAAUAUUGAUUUGUGAAUCUCAAAUCAACCUUGCAGCUGAAUUAAAGAUCGAUGAGUUGAGAAAAUUUUUUGGAGAUCUGAUACAUCGUUGAGGUAAAGAAUCAAGAGUUUCGAUUUUCAAUGUAUCCGUUAUGGAUCGAUACAACAAACAUAAACUCUAAAGAGAUCCAUACCUUUGAUGGAUCAUUCAUACCUUUUAUAAUUUUGUGUAAUCGUUUUUUGAAUUUUAUUUUCGAGAUGGAUAGAUUUAUCAAUACAUUAUUAUUUAUGUAUCUGGUAGUUUCUACGUAUCAGAUACAAUUAGCGUAAAUUCGAAUUUAUGUAUCAUGUCUAAAAAAUUGUGUAUUUGUUCAUGCAAGAAUAGAAUGUUGUGUAUCCGAUACAUAGCAACACCUAGAUACAUGACAAAUAAUACAUUUAGUAGAUUGUAACUAAUAAGAUUGUAGAGAAUCCUUUUGAAAAUCAAAUUGAUAUGAAAAUUGUAACUAAUAAGAUUGUAGAGAAUCCUUUUGAAAAUCAAAUUGAUAUGAAAAUUGUAACUAAUAAGAUUGUAGAGAAUCCUUUUGAAAAUCAAAUUGAUAUGAAAAUUGUAACUAAUAAGAUUGUAGAGAAUCCUUUUGAAAAUCAAAUUGAUAUGAAAAUUGUAACUAAUAAGAUUGUAGAGAAUCCUUUUGAAAAUCAAAUUGAUAUGAAAAUUGUAACUAAUAAGAUUGUAGAGAAUCCUUUUGAAAAUCAAAUUGAUAUGAAAAUUGUAACUAAUAAGAUUGUAGAGAAUCCUUUUGAAAAUCAAAUUGAUAUGAAAAUUGUAACUAAUAAGAUUGUAGAGAAUCCUUUUGAAAAUCAAAUUGAUAUGAAAAUUGUAACUGAUAAGAUUGUAGAGUGAAACUAGGGAGAGAUUAAAGGAGUGAAAAAGGGAAGGAAAUCAUGUGUUAAGGCUGAAAUACUUAUGUAUCCGUUUGACUUGAGAAUUGAAAAGAAAAAAGGAUUUUGGAAAUAUUUUAAAAUGGUAGGGAAUGAUGGAAAUUAUGAAAAAUAAAGAUGUGUAUAUAAGUAAUUUAUCCAAUUAUUAAUCCUCCAUCUAAGAAAAGUAAUACAAUAUAGAUCCAUUUCUUUACCCGUCCUAUUCCCUUGAUGGUUACAAACACAGUUCUAAUGUAUCUCCUAAACAGCAAACGACCACUGAAAGUUAAGAUCUUAGGUAAAGUUUUUUUUUGGAUCAGGUAAACAAUGUCAUUUCGUAAAUCAGAAGGCCAAGAUCUGUCGUAUACAAGAAGUACAUCAAAAAGUAACGAACCGAGAUCUUAAGUAUAGUCAUAUGCUACAUCCAAGAAAGUUAUCAAAUAAGGGGAGCUUGUGUGACUCAAAAACUGGAACAACAUGACCCUUUAACCAUAAUAAAAGGUAAAAAAACCACCUGGAUAUUGCUGCUUUCAGCAAGCUUUACAACAGUGUUAUAACAUGACAUCUGCAACAUGUAAUCCACCAAUAUCCGCUUCAAAUGGAUGUUAUUCCAGUCUGAUAAAUUUUCUGAAUCAACAGAUUCUAGACGAUCUAGCCAUGCUCGAUCUGCAUCUUUGCACUUGCAGGUUCUCUGUUCGACUCCCCUCUUCCGAUUGAUUGUUCUCACGAUACAAAGUCAUGUGAUACAUCAUUUUUAACUGACUAAAAGGAUUACUGAAGCUUUCAAAAAGCUUCGUGAUGGGAUACAUUUUAGGAUCCAAUAUUUAACAAAAAAACAGAGAAAUCAAAGACACACAUAAACACCUAUAGAAGUUUCGUUUACUUUAUCCAAUCUUAUACAUUAUGAUUGUUCUCACAAUAUAAAACCAUUUUUACCUAAUUCGAACUGAUCAAAAAUCAUAUAUGAAGAUCAAUCAACUUCACAAAUAAUUAAUCACUUCAUGCUCUCUCUCUUACACACGCACACAAACUGUAUAGAGAAAAGUUUUGAUUCUGUCAUCCAAUAUUCAAUCAUACACAGUUACAGACACGCGUGUUUGGGUAGUAGUUUUGCUUCCUUCAUCCAAUCUUAUCCUCUAAUCAAAUAUGUGAUCUACAUAACAGAUAGGGGGGAAUUUAAAAAAUCUUACUACAUAGUAAUUGAACAGAAUAACAUACCUAAUUAUAGAAGUCUAGUUUUCUUAAUCCAAACUUAUACGGUAAACGAACAGAGUAUCGUAAUUGAGCUACUCUAAGUAGCUUCCUUUUGAGGCAUUGCAAUCUGGAUACAAGUGAAUUCAGGUGAUGUACAUCA